GAGCGAACAGAUAAGGAGCUUGCUCCUUUGACGUUAGCGGCGGACGGGUGAGUAACACGUGGAUAACCUACCUAUAAGACUGGGAUAACUUCGGGAAACCGGAGCUAAUACCGGAUAACAUAUUGAACCGCAUGGUUCAAUAGUGAAAGGCGGCUUUGCUGUCACUUAUAGAUGGAUCCGCGCCGUAUUAGCUAGUUGGUAAGGUAACGGCUUACCAAGGCAACGAUACGUAGCCGACCUGAGAGGGUGAUCGGCCACACUGGAACUGAGACACGGUCCAGACUCCUACGGGAGGCAGCAGUAGGGAAUCUUCCGCAAUGGGCGAAAGCCUGACGGAGCAACGCCGCGUGAGUGAUGAAGGUCUUCGGAUCGUAAAACUCUGUUAUCAGGGAAGAACAAAUGUGUAAGUAACUGUGCACAUCUUGACGGUACCUGAUCAGAAAGCCACGGCUAACUACGUGCCAGCAGCCGCGGUAAUACGUAGGUGGCAAGCGUUAUCCGGAAUUAUUGGGCGUAAAGCGCGCGUAGGCGGUUUUUUAAGUCUGAUGUGAAAGCCCACGGCUCAACCGUGGAGGGUCAUUGGAAACUGGAAAACUUGAGUGCAGAAGAGGAAAGUGGAAUUCCAUGUGUAGCGGUGAAAUGCGCAGAGAUAUGGAGGAACACCAGUGGCGAAGGCGACUUUCUGGUCU
rnacentral:rRNA from 1 species